UAUCUUUCACUUUCGUCUCCCUCUCUCUCUCUAGAGUUAUACUUGUUAUUUUUAUUUUUCAUUUGUAGUAAUAAUUAAGCCUGUCCCGUUUUAAGUAUUUUAACUCCUGAUCACUGCUAACCUUUUUCGAUCGAUCUGAGCCUCAUAACAUAUGUCAGGGCUCUGCCCGACUAAGUUGUUGGGAUUCAAUCUCGGGACAUCGGGACAAGGUUGAAUUAGGGGUACUAUACUUAACACGAGUACAUUAUAUAUUUUUAAAUAAAUCAAAAGUUAUACCCAAAAUUUAUACCAGGAGAUUUUCUAGUUGAACCCUAAAGUUACAAAGUGGGUCCAUUCUCUUUUCUCACCGUUUUAUUUCCUUUUUGUGAUUUACCCAAAACUAUUAUUUAUUAUUCUAUUUUGUAAACAACUCUCAUCAAAAGUCAUAUCUAUUAUUUUAUUUACCCAAUAGGAAACACUAGUUGAGACACCCAAGUAAUCCUGCACAACUCCUAAAAUUUUCAGAACAAUCAGAAUCAGGAUCAGGAUCAGGGCCCCUAAAACUCAGGGGGGUAUUCCCUACUCGACGAUUAUCCACAUAUCUUGCUGUCUAAUUCGAAUUUAUCAAUCCCGUCGACUCAUACAAGCUAGUUGGACACGUGGCAAGCCUAUGAUGAAACGUGUCCCGUCGCGUCACGCGAGGCCCCCGGGGUGACCCCUCGCGUCACGCGAGGGGGUCAAAUUUCAGCUAUAAAUAGAAGGGGUUAUGAGCAUUUCAUGGGUGUCGAUCAAAAUUUUCAAAAAUGAAAUUAGACUACUCUAAUUCGUAAAAUACAUUCACAAUAGCGAGGCGCUGCUACGAUAUUGAGUAUUAACUCAAUCGCUGUUAUGAUUCAAUAUCCGAUCGAUUGAAACUAUCCGACAGGAUGUUUAAGUGCUAACCUUUGUCAUUCAUCGUGAUUCCGACAGGAUGUUUUAGUACCACCCGAACUCAGGGAAUACUCUGUCAUUCGUUGUGAAUCCGAUGGAUGUUUAAGUGAUUGCACUUUGUCAUUCGUUGUGAGGGUUUUAAUCUCGUGAGUUAUCGUAAAUGUUGUAUUAGUUACUUACCUAGUUCGUGUGCACUAGGUUACAAGGCUAAUCAAUAGGCUAAGCUCUACCUGUAUAAAUCUGCAAUAUAUCAAGGCUUAUCUGUAGACUAAACUUUGCCCGUAUGAAUCUGCAUGCUUAUAAUGUAAUUACAGUAGAUUGGAGUAAGGAUUGGAUCCGGCACUGAAGGAUUUCAAGAAGUGGCUUAUUUUAUUAAUUAAAUCAAGUUAAGAAAUAUUGUUUUUAUUAAAAGCUACCUUUGUAAAACCUGAAUUUAUUCCAUCUAUUUAAAUAAAAUCCGGUGUUUUCUAAACUCUGAUAUUUUUCCUAACUCACGGUCCUGAUGAAAUUUCCGCUGCAAUAUUUUUCAAAAUAAUCAACGGUACCACUGGGCUGCUCACGGCUCCCGAUUCCGUCCAGGGUGGGUCGGGGGUCGUGACACCCUAGUUUCAAGAAAUCAAGCAAUUGAACCUGAAAUCAAAGGAUAAUCCAAUGCAUGAGCCCCUAAUUUCGAGUAGCUAACCCCAAUUUUUGAAGUGGCGUGAAGGAAGAAGGUUCAAACACUAGGAAAUCGGAAGGCUCACAAGAUCGAGGUAAAUCCUCAACAUAAGCGAUUGGACGAUUUGGGACGAGCACACAUGAUCUAUGCCCACCUCACGCUUCCGAUAAUGCUAACUUAUUGUGGUUUUAGUUUUGGUUUUAUGUACUUUCAACUUAUGUAGUCUUUUGAUGUCCUUGUAGUUUGGGCAAUAACUUCGUAGUAGUAGUUAUGUUUUUGAACAAUGUAGACAAUGUCCAUUUUGGGUUUUAAAAAGGUCUUUUAUGUUGUAGU
rnacentral:lncRNA from 1 species